UUGGGGCACCAGGAUUUGAAAGAAGACCUUCUUGAGCUGCCAUCAUAAACUCUACCACUGAGCUAUACCCCA
rnacentral:sRNA from 1 species